GACGGAGGGUGCUAGCGUUGUUCGGAAUUACUGGGCGUAAAGGGCGCGUAGGCGGCUACGGCAGUCGGGUGUGAAAGCCCGGGGCUCAACCCCGGAACGGCACCCGAUACUCUGUGGCUCGAGACCGGGAGAGGAGGGUGGAAUACCCAGUGUAGAGGUGAAAUUCGUAGAUAUUGGGUGGAACACCGGUGGCGAAAGCGGCUCUCUGGCCCGGUUCUGACGCUGAGGCGCGAAAGCGUGGGGAGCAAACAGG
rnacentral:rRNA from 1 species